rnacentral:rRNA from 1 species
CAAUAGCGUAUAUUAAAGUUGUUGCGGUUAAAAAGCUCGUAGUUGGAUCUCGGCAGGCAGGGGGUGGUUCGCUCUUAGCGCUACUGCCCCAUUUGCCUGUGUGAUUGGCGGAGGUUUCGGGGUGCUCUUCGUUGAGUGACCCGGGGCGCCGUCAGGUUUACUUUGAAAAAAUUAGAGUGCUCAAAGCAGGCUUUUCACGCUUGAAUAUUCGUGUAUGGAAUAAUGGAAUAGGAACUCGUUUCUAUUUUGUUGGUUUUCGGAAAUCGAGUUAAUGAUUAAUAGGGACAAUUGGGGGCAUUAGUAUUCAGACGACAGAGGUGAAAUUCUUGGACCGUCUGAAGACUAACUACUGCGAAAGCAUUUGCCAAGAGUGUUUUCAUUAA